rnacentral:rRNA from 1 species
CUUGGUCAUUUAGAGGAAGUAAAAGUCGUAACAAGGUUUCCGUAGGUGAACCUGCGGAAGGAUCAUUAUUGAGCUACCGGGGUCUUGAAAAAGACUCCGCUCUGGCCCACCCGUGCCGAACGAACCUGUUGCCUUGGUCGGCCCGCCCUGUAGGGCCAUCGGGGGACUUUUUAAUGGUCCCUGGAUCCGUGCCGGCCGAGGAUGCGGGCACUUCUUUGCUUUUGCUAGGAGGUGACCAGCACUAAAACUCAUUAUAAAACAGCGAUGGAGUCUGAAGCUUUGAUAAAUUAAACCAAAACUUUCAACAAUGGAUCUCUUGGUUCCGACAUCGAUGAAGAACGCAGCAAAAUGCGAUAAGUAAUGUGAAUUGCAGAAUUCCGUGAAUCAUCGAAUCUUUGAACGCACAUUGCACCCUCUGGUAUUCCGGAGGGUAUGCCUGUCCGAGCGUCAUUGCAACCCUCAAGCACGGCUUGUGUUUGGAACUCGUUCUGCGAUGGACGGUCCUGAAAUGCAGUGGCAACAAGCUGGCCUCAAGCCCUGAUGUAUGGGAACAUUUGUCAUGGCUCGGCGCUGGUGUUUGUCUUUACGCAUCAUAUCUUCCAGGUUGACCUCGGAUCAGGUAGGAGUACCCGCUGAACUUAAGCAUAUCAAUAAGCGGAGGA